GGGUUUGAUCCUGGCUCAGGAUGAACGCUGGCGGCGUGCCUAACACAUGCAAGUCGAACGAACUGGUAGAUAGCAGAUGGCCGAAGGCCGAUAGCUUGCUAUCAGCCCAAAGCUGUCAGUUAUCAGCCGGUUAGUGGCAAACGGGUGAGUAAUACGUAGGUGACCUGCCCCGAAGAGGGGGAUAACUGCUGGAAACGGCAGCUAAUACCCCAUGUGAUCAUGAGGGUUAGAGGCCUCAUGAUUAAAAGCUCCGGCGCUUCGGGAGGGGCCUGCGGCCUAUCAGCUAGUUGGUGAGGUAAAGGCCCACCAAGGCAAUGACGGGUAGCUGGUCUGAGAGGGCGAUCAGCCACACGGGCACUGAGACACGGGCCCGACUCCUACGGGAGGCAGCAGUGAGGGAUAUUGCGCAAUGGGCGAAAGCCUGACGCAGCAACGCCGCGUGGGCGAUGAAAGCCUUCGGGUUGUAAAGCCCUUUUCUGGGGGAAGAGGAAGGACGGUACCCCAGGAAAAAGUCCCGGCUAACUACGUGCCAGCAGCCGCGGUAAAACGUAGGGGGCAAGCGUUAUCCGGAUUCAUUGGGCGUAAAGCGCGUGCAGGUGGUGCUUUAAGUUGGGCGUGAAAUCUCCUGGCUCAACUGGGAGGGGUCGUUCAAUACUGAAGCACUUGAGGGCAGGAGAGGGAGGUGGAAUUCCCGGUGUAGUGGUGAAAUGCGUAGAUAUCGGGAGGAACACCAGUGGCGAAGGCGGCCUCCUGGCCUGCUCCUGACACUAAGACGCGAAAGCUAGGGGAGCGAACGGGAUUAGAUACCCCGGUAGUCCUAGCUGUAAACGAUGGAUACUAGGUGUGGGUGGCAUUGACCCCAUCCGUGCCGUAGCUAACGCGAUAAGUAUCCCGCCUGGGGACUACGGCCGCAAGGUUAAAACUCAAAGGAAUUGACGGGGGCCCGCACAAGCAGCGGAGCGUGUGGUUUAAUUCGAUACACGAAGAACCUUACCAGGGCUUGACAUGCUGGUGGUACGGACCCGAAAGGGCGAGGACCCGCAAGGGAGCCAGCACAGGUGCUGCAUGGCUGUCGUCAGCUCGUGCCGUGAGGUGUUGGGUUAAGUCCCGUAACGAGCGCAACCCUUGCCGUAUGUUACAUGUGUCAUACGGGACCGCCGGCGAUAAGCUGGAGGAAGGUGAGGAUGAUCUCAAGUCAGCAUGGCCUUUAUGUCCUGGGCGACACACACGCUACAAUGGCCGGUACAAUGGGUAGCCAAGCCGCGAGGCGGAGCCAAUCCUCUAAAGCCGGUCUCAGUUCGGAUUGCAGUCUGCAACUCGACUGCAUGAAGGUGGAGUUGCUAGUAACCGCGCGUCAGCCAUAGUGCGGUGAAUACGUUCCCGGGCCUUGUACACACCGCCCGUCACGUCAUGGGAGUCGGCAACACCUGAAGCCGGUGAGCUAACCGAAAGGAGGCAGCCGUCGAGGGUGGGGCUGGUGACUGGGACGAAGUCGUAACAAGGUA
rnacentral:rRNA from 1 species